AAAAACAUCUAUGAUCAACAAAACCUUCAAGGCUGAGAAUACAGCUAGAUAAACACUCAUUUCCUCAGGGAGUUCCCUGACCUUCCAUUCCAGGGACCUUGUUUUUGAUGAAGACAUCAGAGAGGGAAGCAACCAAUUCCAGAGUCUAGGAUAAAAACAUGCAUAAACUCAAAUCAAUGUCAUUUCUUGGAAACCGCAAUUAGAAAACUAUCAAUGGAAAUACUGGAGAAGGCAUGAAGGAGGAGUGUGAGAUGAACCUUGUGUCAGAGACCAGUGAGACCACAGGAGAUGUCAUGACUGAGAUGAGCUUCCUGGUUUCUUUGGAGAUGGUGGGAUACAGGAGGAGCAGAAAAAGUAGCAGCAUUGA